rnacentral:lncRNA from 1 species
GGACGGACGGAUGGCCGUUCCGCGGUUCAGCCUUGCCUCGGAUGGAUGGUACCGGCCGGCUCGUCUCUUGCUUGUGAUCGAACCUGAAACAGAUAGGAACCUUUAGUGAGUUUUCAAUAGGAACAAGAACAGAAACAAUAUAUGAUUCUUUGGUUUUUAUGGAAUUGGAUGAAUGAAAUCUAAAACAAAAGAUAGAGAAAAGAGUAGAUUGGCGGAUGGGAUCUGCUGCUGGACGUAUGUCUCUCUCAAGAUAUGGAUCCGACUCUUGUUGGACGUAUGUCUCUCUCAAGAUUCAGACAAGGAAUGGAAUGGAUCGAUGGACGCCACAAAGAACAAUGGAUCGGCUCUUUGAUAUGUCACACGGCUGCUCUCAAUGUUUCACACAACUGAAAGACUUAGGGUUUCUUUGCUAAAGCAAAAACGAUUUCAUAAAAGACUUCGCCGAAAAGUUGGCAACUACAAGGGUUUAAAUAGAUGUUCCUUACUGGACUUUAAAGAUAAAAAGGGCCUAGACAAAUGGCCAAAGUCUUAACCGAAAUAAAAUAAAGAAAACAAUAGACCGCUCGCGGUUUGAGAUGUCCGGAUCAGAACUCAUAGUAUGCUUGCUUGUUGCCUCAUUAAAACCUUUCGGGAAAACCAAGUGGGACAAAACCUCAGUAAGGAAAAAGAGUACAACACAUACUACUCCUUCUGAUGGUCGGCUAUAUCUCUGAACCGGAAGCAAGUUGGUUGGAUGGAUUGAGUAUGAAGGUGGAAAUGGUCAGGCCGGCUUCAUUCUGGCCGAUGGAGGAGAACUGGCUCGAAUGGAAAGGGUCUGGAACCUCUAGUGGUUCACCGGUGUCUUCCAGCUUCAAGUCAGACAACUCAUGGAUCAAUAGUUGCUUGAACCCGGUUUUUCCUGUGCAAGCAACUCCUGGACAGCUUUGGCAAAUCCAGCUCUUAUAACUCUUGAACCGGACCUUGUGGUAGGACCUUUGCGGAUAAUGGGAACCUCAGUCGUGGGUACUACAACAGAAAGCCGUGGUGAAUGCAACCGAAUCGAGUCAUGCACGUAUCGUCGAGUCGAUUUCCACGCCCGAUUUUGAGAUGAUUCAUCGUGAAGCCAUGAUGGAUACGGAAAACAUGGACACGCCCCAGCGAGUCCUCAUUGCUGAUUCGGUGCGUCAGCUCCGCGAAGAGAGAGAGAGCGUAACAUUUAUCGCGAGAGACGGUCAGGGUGGAGCUAGUGUCGGGGAGGCUUCCCUCCCCGAUUUCGUUCCGUGCUGUUAUCACCCGGGGGGAAUCUUCGAGGAUCUUCCAGCUUUGGCGGUGGAGCAGAUGCGUCCUCCUGUCCUAGAGGGACAGUCAUGGGAGAACAUCGAGGAGACUCGUUCGACUCCUAGCAGCGUGAAAGCUUUAUUGAGGGAAUGUGGAGGAACCGGUGUGACCUUUUUUAUCCCAACUAAAUCUCAGAGGCUGUGGUCCCCUCCUUUGGGAUUUCAAUGCGUCUAUGAGUCAUAUUUUCAGGAUGAGACCAAACUUUGGUUUCCGAUUCCUCGACUCGUCACGUCUUAUGUGAGACGUCGUGACGCGGCAAUAAGUCAAUUUUUUAAUGGCGCAAUCCGUACCUCGGUGGCAUUGAUGGUGACUGCGGCGGAGAUCGAUGUUUUGAUGAGUGUGCGGACACUCGAGGAGUUGACCUAUACGAAGUGUAUGGGGGAUGGUCUGUUCUCGAUCUAGAUAAGGCCCAACUACAACGUGAUUGUCGAUCAUCCGUGUAGGAUGGCGAACUGGCAGCGUUUCUACUUUUACGUCAAGUCUGACGGUUUUGCCUUCGAGGAGCCGCCCGACGAUUCCUUUCGAUUUUUGUGGAAUCGUAAACUUUGUAGAAUGCUGUUAGCUCGUCAACUGUCUCUUUUUCUUGUUUUCUGACGAGUCUUCAUUUAUUUGCAGUUGAUCACCCAGACACGGCCUCUUAUCCGGAAGAUUUCGUCUCUGAUGCUCGUGCAGUCGUGUCGCGUGUCUAGUGGUUCACCGGUAUCUUCCAGCUUCAAGUCAGACAACUCCUGGAUCAAUAGUUGCUUGAACCCGGUUUGUUCCUGUGCAAGCAACUCCUGGACAGCUUUGGCAAAUCCAGCUCUUAUAACUCUUGAACCGGACCUUGUGGUAGGACCUUUGCGGAUAAUGGGAACCUCAGUCGUGGGUACUACAACAUCCCCUCCCUCUUGAACAGGUUCUGUCCUCAGAACAUCUCCGUCAUCUGCAAUAUAAGGAGACACGUCAAACACAUUGAACGUUCGGGAAACUUGGAACUCACCUGGCAGUUCUAGCCGGUAGGCAUUGUCAUUGAUCCGAUCGAGCACUCGGAAUGGUCCGUCCCCUCGUGGGGAUAAUUUGCUCUUCCUCUCUUCCGGAAACCGUUCUGGCCUCAUGUGGAGCCACACCCAGUCGCCUGGUUGGAAGAUAACUUCUGUGCGCCCCUUGUUGAGCUUAAUCCGGUUCCUUUCAGCCUUCUUCUCCAAAGUCUCCUUGACUUGCCGGUGCAUGUUCUUCACAAACUCAGCCUUUUUGUCACCACUCUGGCUGACUUGCAUGGCUGGUGGCAAUGCGGCUAGGUCCAUGGGCGUCUCUGGUCUAAAGCCAUACACGAUCUCAAAAGGGGAGAGGUUAGUAAUAGAGUGCCUUGCAUGGUUAUAAGCAAACUCAAUGAAAGGCAACCAACUCAACCAGUUUUUAAGAUUCUUACCCACCGUAGCCCUCAAUAACUGAGAGAGUGUACAGUUUACUACCUUGGUCUGUCCAUCAGUCUGUGGAUGGCAAGUGGUCGAGAAAAGGAGCUUGGUUCCAAGCUUUUUCCACAAUGUCCUCCAGAAGUGGCUGAGAAAUUUUGUGUCUCGGUCGGACACGAUGGUACGAGGCACUCCAUGUAAGCGCACCACUUCCUUGAAGAAGAGAUCAUCGGUUUGGCUUGCAUCAUUGGUCUUGGAACACGGAAUGAAGUGUGCCAUCUUGGAGAACCUGUCCACUACAACAAAAAUAGAAUCCUUGUGUUCUAUCUUGGGCAAGCCCAGCACAAAGUCCAUAGACAGGUCGACCCACGAGGCAAUAGGAAUAGGUAAAGGCAUGUGUAAUCCAUAAGGAUGCGACCUGGAUUUGGUUUUGAGACAGACAGUGCACUUGGCGCAAAGGCUCUCGACGUAGCGCCUCAUCCGGGGCCAAUAGAAGUGGUCAGACAGGACGCUCAGAGUUUUGUCCCGACCGAAAUGCCCCAUCAACCCACCCCCAUGAGCUUCUCUGGUCAGUAAAUCUCGCAUGGAACCAUGAGGAAUACACAGGCGUUUCUCCUUGAAGAGGAACCCGUCCUGCUGAUAGAAUGGACCCAUGGCUCCCUUAGCCGUGUUACUGUAAAGCUCAGAAAAGUCAGGGUCAGUUUCAUAAGACAUUUUGAAUUGCUCAAAACCCAUGAUCUUAGCCUCCAUGGUGGUAAUGAGUGUGUGGCGCCGGGAUAGGGCGUCGGCCACUACGUUGUCCUUUCCCUUCUUGUACUUGAUCACAUAAGGAAAAGUUUCCACGAAUUCCAGCCACCUAGCAUGCCUCUUCUUGAGUGUGGUCUGGCCCCUCAAAUGAUUAAGAGUCUCAUGAUCUGUAUGAAUAAUAAACUCUUUAGACAAAAGAUAAUGUUGCCAAGUUUCAAGCGACCUUACUAGAGCAUAUAGCUCUUUAUCAUAGGUGGGAUAAUUGAGGGCGGCUCCACUCAAUUUCUCACUGAAGAAGGCCACUGGCCGGCCUCCUUGGGUCAGCACGGCUCCUAUCCCUGUCCCUGAAGCAUCACACUCAAUCUCAAAAGGUUUAUCAAAGUUAGGAAGAGUUAGAACCGGUGCAUAUGUCAAGCUAUAUUUAAGCCUGUUGAAAGACUCCUCUUGGGCAGGGCCCCAAGCAAAGGUUACAUUCUUCUUGAUCACGGAGGUCAUUGGGGCGGCAAUGGUACUGAAGUCCUUCACAAAUCGUCUCUAUCUGGCCAGUCCAUGGACGCUGCGGAUAUGUCCGAUCGUGGUCGGAGUCGGCCAGUCUUGUAUCGCCUUGAUCUUCUCGUCAUCAACCUUCAGUCCCUGUGAACUCACAACAAAGCCUAAAAAUACCAACUGAUCAGUGCAGAAUACACAUUUCUUAAGGUUAGGAUAAAGGCCUUCUUGUCUUAAGGCUUUCAAAACCUGUUCUAGGUGUCCCAUGUGUUCAGUUAAAGACCUGCUGUGAAUCAAGAUAUCAUCAAAUAAUACAACCACGAAUUUACCAAUGUAAGGUCGGAGGACCUCAUUCAUGAGUCUCAUGAAGGUACUAGGGGCGUUGGUAAGGCCAAACGGCAUCACCAGCCACUCGUAUAGACCUUGCUUGGUCUUGAAGGCAGUUUUCCACUCAUCUCCUUCCUUCAUGUGGACUUGAUGGUAUCCACUCCUGAGAUCAAUCUUAGAAAACACAACAGACCCACUCAGUUCAUCCAACAUAUCAUCUAAUCUGGGUAUAGGGUACCGAUAUUUGAUGGUUAUGUUGUUGAUGGCUCGGCAGUCCACACACAUGCGCCACGUCCCAUCCUUCUUAGGCACUAGUAGGACCGGGACCGCACAGGGACUAAGGCUCUCGCGGAUGUAGCCUUUGUCCAUGAGAUCUUGGACCUGCCGCUCCAGCUCCUUGGCUUCCUCAGGGUUGACACGGUAAGCAGCUCGGUUUGGUAGUGGCGCGCCGGGUACAAGGUCGAUCUGAUGUUCUAUGCCACGGACAGGGGGUAAACCGGCUGGAAUCUCAUCAGGAAAGACAUCCUUGUAACGUCCCAUGAGGUCUUGUACUACGUCCGGUACUUCAGGAGCUUCUAGACCUGCAAAACAACCUUCCUUAAAGAUCAUUAGUAGCACAUGUGUCUCACGUUGUAAUGAUUUAAGCACUUGUCCGAAAGUCAUGUAAAGGUUAGUGUUACUUACCUGGCGGACUGCGUCAUGGCCUUUUGCAUAUCAUGACCUUCUUGAGGGCUGAGAGGUGCUAGGCUGUGCUUCCUGUUGUUGUGGACGAAACUAUAGAUGUUGGUGCGUCCAUGGUGAAGAGUCUCCUUGUCAAACUGCCACGGCCUUCCUAGAAGUAUAUGGCCGGCUUGCAUGGGCACAACAUCACACUUGACCUGGUCUUGGUACUUGCCAAUACUGAAGGACACAACAACUUGUUUGGAAAUCUUGAGCUCAGUCUCAUCAUUGAGCCGUUUGAGACGGUAUGGCCGAGGAUGGGCAGUUUUGACCAGCCCUAGCUUAUCAACAAGAUACUUGCUAGCCACGUUAGUACAAGAUCCGCCAUCUAUGAUCAAACUACAUACCUUGUGAUCAACACUACAUCUUGUGUGAAAGAUGUUCUCCCGCUGGAUGGUCUCUGGAUCAAAGAGGGUGCUAAGAGCUCUCCGGGUCACUAGCAGCUCGCCGGUCUCCGGGUAGUCGGUUACUUCUUCAUCAGAGAUCACUGCCGCGGCCUCUGCCUCAUCUUGGGAUUCAUACUCGCCAUCCCCCUUUAGGACCAUCACUUGUUUGUUUGGACAAUCCCGAGCGUAGUGGCCCUUGCCCUGACACUUAUAACAAAUGAUGUCACGGGUACGCAAUGUUUGGGCUUGAGUCUUACCCUGCUCCGGUUAGGAUGCAUUAGACGAUUCAGCCUGGUUUGUCUUGAAUCGGCUCUCAAUCUCAAUCGUCUUGCCCUUGUCGCCUUGCUUUGAGCCCGGUUCAGUCCACGCAGGUUUGCUGCGGUUGGUGCUGGCCGUCUUACGCUUGAUGUGCUGCUCGUCUUGCGUAGCAAAGUGCAACAGGUCGUUGAAGUCUUCAUACUGUUGCCUCUUCACCUUGCGGGCAAUGCGGUCUUGCAGCCCUUCCAGAAAUUGGGACAUCAUUGUCUCUUCGGGCUCGUCGGUCUCAAGCUUAUUCCUAAGUGCCUCGAACUCCUCAAAGUACUCCUCUACAGUCUUAGUUCCCUGCGUAAGUUUACGAAAACGUUUUAGCACAUCACGCUGGUAGUAAGAUGGAAUGUACCUCGCGCGAAGCUUGGUCCGCAUCUCGGUCCAAUUACGCGCUCUCCACACUGGCCCGGACUUAGCAACGUCUCGAUCCCACCACGAAAGAGCAUUGUCCGUCAGCUGGGCUGCUGCUAGGGCAACCUUCUUGGCCUCACUAUAUUGGUAAUAGUCGAAGAUGUACUCCAUGCGCUUCUCCCACACGUUGUAGGCAUCCGGAUCAACCUUUCCAGCAAACGUUGGGGGAUGAAGCUUAAGCGCCUUGCCUCCCAACCAAGGCUCUUCCUCCUCUCGGUCGCGGCCUCCUCCUACUUGGGCCCGGGGUCCUCGCGCGUUCCUCCUCCCUCCCCGGUUUGGCCUCUCCUCGUCCUGACUGCGCGUAUCAUCGGUACUGUCCGCGUUCGAGUCAGUGUCAUGCGGAUCAGGCUGAUUCCUUCCUGGUGGUCGAGGUCCGUUGGGUCUGCCUCCCUGCCGUAGCUGAGCAAGCUCGGCGGUUAUAGCCCUAAGGCUCGCCCUCAACUCUUCAUUGUCGGCUAGGAGCUGUGCGUUUAUGGCCGCUUGAUCUUGACCUACAUCUCCCAUAGUUUCUCUGAAAAGAUACUCAAAGAAAAAUUAGAGGCAAGAGGGGAUUAAAAAGUAGCUUCGGUCGGAUACUUGAGUAUCGACCAAGGCUAGAAGUAAAUGCUAAAAUUUAUGAUAAAAAUCGAAUCAAGUUGAAAAAGGAAAGAGGGAAUAUUUUUUUUGAUUUUUUCGAAAACUUGGAAAGAAAGUAAAACUUCUUUUAAUUUUUUUUUUUAAAUGCAAAAAUCGAAAACUUGGAGAACAAUCCGAAAAUUUAAGAAAAUAAGGAAAGUAAAUUUUUUUUUUUUUGAAUUGUGAUGGCUAGGGUUCAGAAAGAACUGAGUUUCGCAGGAAACUUCAGCUCUGAUACCAAAAUGUUGUAGGCACGGGUCGGAGGGUCGAACGGAUGGACGGACGGACGGCCGGAUAGCCGUUCCGCGGUUCAGCCUUGCCUCGGAUGGAUGGUACCGGCCGGCUCGUCUCUUGCUUGUGAUCGAACCUGAAACAGAUAGGAACCUUUAGUGAGUUUUCAAUAGGAACAAGAACAGAAACAAUAUAUGAUUCUUUGGUUUUUAUGGAAUUGGAUGAAUGAAAUCUAAAACAAAAGAUAGAGAAAAGAGUAGAUUGGCGGAUGGGAUCUGCUGCUGGACGUAUGUCUCUCUCAGCAAGAUGCCUAGGUCGGUUAGGAAGAUAGAUAUGGAUCCGGCUCUUGUUGGACGUAUGUCUCUCUCAAGAUUCAGACAAGGAAUGGAAUGGAUCGAUGGACGCCACAAAGAACAAUGGAUCGGCUCUUUAAUAUGUCACACGGCUGCUCUCAAUGUUUCACACAACUGAAAGACUUAGGGUUUCUUUGCUAAAGCAAAAACGAUUUCAGAAAAG